rnacentral:rRNA from 1 species
GGAAUUUUGGGCAAUGGGCGAAAGCCUGACCCAGCAACGCCGCGUGAGGGAUGAAGUAUUUCGGUAUGUAAACCUCGAAAGAAUGGGAAGAAUAAAUGACGGUACCAUUUAUAAGCUCCGGCUAACUACGUGCCAGCAGCCGCGGUAAUACGUAGGGAGCAAGCGUUGUUCGGAUUUACUGGGCGUAAAGGGCGCGUAGGCGGCGCGGUAAGUCACUUGUGAAAUCUCUGAGCUUAACUCAGAACGGCCAAGUGAUGCUGCUGUGCUAGAGUGCGGAAGAGGCAACCGGAAUUCUUGGUGUAGCGGUGAAAUGCGUAGAUAUCAAGAGGAACACCUGAGGCGAAGGCGGGUUGCUGGGCCGACACUGACGCUGAUGCGCGAAAGCCAGGGGAGCAAACG